GGACACCCGCACUAUCCGCCCGGGGAUUACGAGCGCUAGCUUAAAACCCAWAGGACUUGGCGGUGCUUCAGAUCCACCUAGAGGAGCCUGUUCUAUAACCGAUACUCCCCGUUCAACCUCACCCUUCCUUGUUUAUCCCGCCUGUAUACCACCGUCGUCAGCUUACCCUGUGAAGGCACUAUAGUAAGCAAGACUGGCAUCGCCCAAAACGUCAGGUCGAGGUGCAGCGAAUGGAAGGGGAAGAAAUGGGCUACAUUCACUAACGCAGUGAACACGAAUAAGGCACUGAAACGUGCACAUUGAAGGAGGAUUUAGCAGUAAGCAGAAAGUAGAGUGUUCCGCUGAAAUCGGCCCUGAAGCGCGUACACACCGCCCGUCACCCUCAAAAAAAAAAAAAA
rnacentral:rRNA from 1 species